rnacentral:rRNA from 1 species
UCUCAGUUCGGACUGGAGUCUGCAACCCGACUCCACGAAGCUGGAUUCGCUAGUAAUCGCGCAUCAGCCAUGGCGCGGUGAAUACCGUUCCCGGGCCUUGUACGCACCCGCCCGUCAAGCCACGAAAGCCGGGGGUGCCUGAAGUCCGUGACCGCGAGGGUCGGCCUAGGGUAAAACUGGUGAUUGGGGCUAAGUCGUAACAAGGUAAC